CCUUGGUUAGCUCAGUUGGUAGAGCGCUUCACCGGAAAUUGAGAGGUCCCGGGUUCGAUACCCGGACCAGGCG
rnacentral:tRNA from 1 species